rnacentral:rRNA from 1 species
AUUGAACGCUGGCGGCAUGCCUAACACAUGCAAGUCGAGCGGAGCGGCGGACGGGGGGGUAAUGCCUAGGAAUCUGCCCGGUAGUGGGGGAUAACGUCCGGAAACGGGCGCUAAUACCGCAUACGUUCAGCUGAGCCUAGGGCGGAUUAGCUAGUUGGUGGGGUAAAGGCCUACCAAGGCGACGAUCCGUAACUGGUCUGAGAGGCUGAUCAGUCACACUGGAACUGGGACACGGUCCAGACUCCUACGGGAGGCAGCAGUGGGGAAUAUUGGGCAAUGGGCGAAAGCCUGAUCCAGCCAUGCCGCGUGUGUGAAGAAGGUCUUCGGAUUGUAAAGCACUUUAUGUUGGGAAGCGUUACCAACAGAAUAAGCACCGGCUAACUUCGUGCCAGCAGCCGCGGUAAUUC